rnacentral:rRNA from 1 species
CAGCAGCCGCGGGAAUACGUAGGUCCCGAGCGUUGUCCGGAUUUAUUGGGCGUAAAGGGAGCGCAGGUGAUUUAGUAAGUCUGAAGUUAAAGGCAUUGGCUCAACCAAUGUAUGCUUUGGAAACUGUUAGACUUGAGUGCAGAAGGGGAGAGUGGAAUUCCAUGUGUAGCGGUGAAAUGCGUAGAUAUAUGGAGGAACACCGGUGGCGAAAGCGGCUCUCUGGUCUGUCACUGACGCUGAGGCUCGAAAGCGUGGGUAGCGAACAGGAUUAGAUACCCCUGUAGUCCCUGUCUCUUAUACA